GUGGACACGGCACACACAGUUCAGGCUUGUUUUCAUCCAGCAGUGUCUUUUAUACGUUAUUUCUUUGCAUAUUUGUUUGCAGUUGACACUUUGUGAAAGAAAACACAGCUCAACUAACAAAUUAUUGGAACUGCAGAGCUUCACGUAUCAUUGUUCCCCAAGGAAACAUCUUUUACUGGGGAAGCAAAGCUGUCACUGGAGUACAAAAAACGUGAGUAAUGCUGAGAGUGGGUGGCCAUGGCCCACACCUGGACCGUCCAUCAGACCAAGACAUUGUGCAGGAUUGAUUUGCUGAGGUUAAAUCACAUUGACAAGCUGUGCCUGGAGCAGACCUGUGACACUGAGCCUUGCAGCAUGGAUCACAACCACGCUGCAGCAGAAAAACACAUUUUAUAAUUUCCUUAAAAUGUUAUUUCUCUGUGCCACAAUGUCUAUUAAUAAACCUUGUCUGUGUGUCAGAGAGAGAAACAGAA